rnacentral:lncRNA from 1 species
CUGAAUUGUGUUCCUUCAAAAUCGGUGCAUUAAAACCCUACACUCCAGUGCAUUUGUAUUUAUAGAUGAGGUCUUCAGGGAGGUAGUCAAGGUUAAAUGAGGAGUGGAGUUAAGUGUGGAACCCUGUUCCAGCAGGACUGGUGGUAUUAUAAGAAGAGGAACAGCAGAAAUCUCUCUCUCCCUUUCUCCAUGAGUUCCCAGAGGGAAGGCCCUGCAGUGACACAGUAAGGUGGCUGUCUUCAAUUGGAGAGAGAAUCUUCACCAGACAACCAGAUCAAGCCUGUUGAUCUUGGACUUCCAAUCUCCAGAACUGUGGGAAAGUUCAUUUCUGUUGUUCAGGCCCCAGCUCGUGGUACUCUCUGAGGCAGUCUGAGCAGACUGAUGUGCCUUCGCAUCCCUUUGGGGCUAGACUCUGAUUUAUUGGUCUGUGGCCUCUGUGGGAGUUUGUAUUUAACUUUUUCCAUUGGCAAAGGAACAGCAAAAUAAAUUGGACUCUGGAAAAGAAGAUACUCUAUUGCUUUGGAAUUUAUAGGGCCAUGUCAAUCAGGGCCCCAGUGAAGAGGUCUUUCCCAAGGUAGAGUCAUUAAUAUCUCUGGGGUGUUUUCUCUGACAC